UACAGAGGGUGCGAGCGUUAAUCGGAAUUACUGGGCGUAAAGCGUGCGCAGGCGGUUCGUUAUGUCCGUUGUGAAAGCCCCGGGCUCAACCUGGGAAUGGCAAUGGAAACUGGCGGGCUAGAGUGUGGCAGAGGGGGGUGGAAUUCCACGUGUAGCAGUGAAAUGCGUAGAGAUGUGGAGGAACACCGAUGGCGAAGGCAGCCCCCUGGGUCAAAACUGACGCUCAUGCACGAAAGCGUGGGGAGCAAACAGG
rnacentral:rRNA from 1 species